rnacentral:rRNA from 1 species
AUUGAACGCUGGCGGCAGGCCUAACACAUGCAAGUCGGGCGGUAACAGGAAUCAGCUUGCUGAUUCGCUGACGAGCGGCGGACGGGUGAGUAAUGUCUGGGAAACUGCCUGAUGGAGGGGGAUAACUACUGGAAACGGUAGCUAAUACCGCAUAACGUCUUCGGACCAAAGUGGGGGACCUUCGGGCCUCAUGCCAUUAGAUGUGCCCAGAUGGGAUUAGCUAGUUGGUGGGGUAACGGCUCACCAGGGCGACGUUCCCUAGCUGGUCUGAGAGGAUGACCAGCCACACUGGAACUGGGACACGGUCCAGACUCCUACGGGAGGCAGCAGUGGGGAAUAUUGCACAAUGGGCGCAAGCCUGAUGCAGCCAUGCCGCGUGUAUGAAGAAGGCCUUCGGGUUGUAAAGUACUUUCAGCGGGGAGGAAGGUGUUGAGGUUAAUAACCACAGCAAUUGACGUUACCCGCAGAAGAAGCACCGGCUAACUCCGUGCCAGCCGCCGCCGUAAUAC